GAUCGCGCAAUGCCGCCAUGGAUCGAAGCCUCUCCGCCGGGUUUCUAUCUACCGUUUAAGCCAUACCAGUUUCGAUAUAGCAACCAGCAAAGAUCGCAUUUGACAGUUAUGUCAAAGGAACCCACCCUUCGUGCGUUCCGAGGCGCAGGGGUCGGCAACGAGCAAAUUCGUAUCGAUUGAAACUGCGUCGCGGAGCCGAUUGGGAGGAUACCGGAGAUCGAUAAAGCCGACAGUGGCGCGCCAGCGCACCUGCUCGACUGCGCGGCCCGCGAAGCCCCGAGUGUCGCGUCCAUCAACCAGGGAGAGUAAU
rnacentral:ncRNA from 1 species